UAAUUAAUAACGCAUCUAUAUCAUUACAUACACUUACUGAAUGUGCCUUUUGAGAGUGAGCUUCUGUCAGUACCUCACACUUAUCUUAUAUGCCAUUCCAACUAUCUGUUGCAGUAGAGAGCAAGGGACAUAUAAGAAAUCUCCAGGUAGCUUCACUUAGAUGCAUCAUCUUCUGCUAGGAGUCAGCUUGAAGAACGACCUUCUCAGGUUAAUUCUUGGGAGACUGCAACUGACAUGCUGGAUGGGGAAUAACCAAAUUUGUGGACAAAGACAAAGAGUUCAUCGCAAGGGGUGGUGUUUAGGAUAUAUACACAAAAGAGGAAACUUUUUUUUGUACAGAACCAAAUUAUAUGAUGUAAUUGACCACUAUUUCUAAGAAAUGUUCAUCAUGUAUUAAGUACAUUUUAUUGUGUCACUUUUUUUGAGGGGUAGCUUUAUUCAUCAAACAUCACAAAGUGUGUGAUAGAGUUCAUCAAACCAGGCUUUAUUGUGUCACCUA